CGGGAGUUAACUGUAGCUGAAAGUAGGUGUUGAUGUUACUCCUAAUCCGUUCAUAACGCGUGCCGGCAAUGGGAAUACGACCACUAUAGGAGUAGACCGUACCGCUACGUUGGUCGAGUCUCUGCUUGGUGCUCUGUUUAAGCCGGUAGCUCCUGCCCAGUACGCCACGGUUGGUCACGUGCCGCAUGACGGUUUCGUUCAUCGUUCCCCGUCCGUGCACAAAAGGCUUCCCCACCUUCACGAGCAAGAAGUUCCUAUAAGUAGGGGGCUCCUUGAUCUAUACCGAUCAACGUAGCGUAUGGUACAUAUUUCAAAAAAGCACGUUCUUUCAGGUUAAUUUAUUUAUUCCUUUUGUUAC
rnacentral:rRNA from 1 species